rnacentral:rRNA from 1 species
GAUGAACGCUGGCGGCGUGCCUAAUACAUGCAAGUAGAACGCUGAAGGAAGGAGCUUGCUCUUUCCGGAUGAGUUGCGAACGGGUGAGUAACGCGUAGGUAACCUGCCUGGUAGCGGGGGAUAACUAUUGGAAACGAUAGCUAAUACCGCAUAACAGUAGAUGUUGCAUGAUAUCUACUUAAAAGGCGCAAUUGCACCACUACCAGAUGGACCUGCGUUGUAUUAGCUAGUUGGUGAGGUAACGGCUCAUGAAGGCGACGAUACAUAGCCGACCUGAGAGGGUGAUCGGCCACACUGAGAGUGAGACACGGCCCAGAGGCCUACGGGAGGCAGCAGUAGGGAAUCGUCGGCAAGGGGCGGGAGACUGACCGAGAAACGCCGCGCGAGUGAGGAAGGUUUUCGGGUCGUAAAGCUCUGUUGUAAGAGAAGAACGAGUUUGAGAGUGGAAAGUUCACACUGUGACGGUAUCUUACAAGAAAGGAACGGCUAACUACGUG